GUGGGGAAUAUUGGACAAUGGGGGGAACCCUGAUCCAGCCAUGCCGCGUGUGUGAAGAAGGCCUUUUGGUUGUAAAGCACUUUAAGCGAGGAGGAGGCUACCGAGAUUAAUACUCUUGGAUAGUGGACGUUACUCACAGAAUAAGCACCGGCUAACUCUGUGCCAGCAGCCGCGGUAAUACAGAGGGUGCAAGCGUUAAUCGGAUUUACUGGGCGUAAAGCGCGCGUAGGUGGCCAAUUAAGUCAAAUGUGAAAUCCACGAGCUUAACUUGGGAAUUGCAUUCGAUACUGGUUGGCUAGAGUAUGGGAGAGGAUGGUAGAAUUCCAGGUGUAGCGGUGAAAUGCGUAGAGAUCUGGAGGAAUACCGAUGGCGAAGGCAGCCAUCUGGCCUAAUACUGACACUGAGGUGCGAAAGCAUGGGGAGCAAACAGGAUUAGAUACCCGAGUAGUCC
rnacentral:rRNA from 1 species